GGAAAAUAUUGUGAAUUCUCUGGACUUGCUGCUCCAACAGGAGACUGUGCCGGGGGAUUCUGGUGCAAAAGUGGUGCCCAAGUGAGAAACCCCCAAGAUGGAGAAUCAGGACUGCCUUGUCCUCCUGGUUAUUACUGUCCUGAAGGUGCCCCACUUCCCCUACAGUGCCCUCCUGGCACUUGGUCUGACAGUGAAGGUGGUAGGAAUUUGCAGGAGUGCCAGCCUUGCCCUGGGGGGUAUUACUGC